CCUAUGAACAGAUAAUUGUUGAUGCGGAUGUUUAGGAGUUGUACGUUAAAUGCCCGUUGCAUCUUGGGAAUCGUAGUAACAUGGAGGUGCCCGUUUGUCACGCAUGACUUUAUACAUGUCGAAGCUUUAAAACGUGAAUGUCGAUUGUCUUUGAUUUUAUUAUCAUAUUAGAUUGACGAAUACAAGGUCAUAAAGACGUGCAACGCUUCGGGGAAACACGGUAAGCUAUGUCUCUGUUGAGAGGGUUGCUGAAGGCUUGCCGCUCCACACAACCAGACAGAUAAGCACUGGUGUGUGCUGUCCAGUCCAUAUGAAUGCCAUCCCUGAGCUGAAGAAGGUGGACUGAGAAGAGGAGCAUGUUUGGGGUUUAGGACAACAUAGGAAUUUUAGGUGACUUCAAAGCCCACCCUAAGGACCUGAUCGUCUGGCCGGUCUGUGUGAAGGGUUUCCGUGGCAACGAGCUGCAGCGUCUGACAAGGUGACUUCAAAGCCCACCCUAAGGACCUGAUCGUCUGGCCGGUCUGUGUGAAGGGUUUCCGUGGCAACGAGCUGCAGCGUCUGACAAGGAAGAAGAGGAUGGUGGGGAACAGGAUGAUGACACAGGACAAACACGACAUGGAGAAGAGGAUCCGCUUCCUCUAUCGACACUUCAACCGCUUUGGAAAACAUGGCUGAUCUGAUCUGGGACUGAGCGGUCUGGCUAACAAUGCUAAACGACUCUUGUACUAACAACCUGCCCACUGGACCACAUUCAGACUCUAAAGAGAGAAAUGUGAGCUACUCUGUUAUGCCACUGAGAUUUAUAUCAGCCCCUUAUACCAUUUGGUAGCCACAUUUUCUUAUAUCCAUAUUGGGGUAAGAGGAAGCUGAUUGCAAUUUGUUUUUUACUUUUGACAGCUGGAAAAUGUUGGAUUAAUUUAGUAUUGUUGUUCGCACUAAAUCAACACUCAACUGUAAAAUACAUCUUUUGAACCAUUAUGAACUCCUAGAAGUGGAAAUAUACACAAAUGUUUGAUGCUCUAUGGUCUGUAAAUGUUAUCACAUUGGGGACUAAUGUAAGUAAUGUUGUGGGUAUGAUAAUAAACAAAGCUUGUCAUUA